UGGGGUGCAGGAGGGGGUGAGGGCUGUAAAGGGGGGUGAAAAGCAGGAAUGAGGGGUUCAGAGUAUGGGAAGGGACUCUGGGCUGCAACGGGAGUGGGGUGUGGGACUGACUGAGGGCUGUAAAGGGGCGUGAAGGGCAGGAAUGAGGGGGUCAGGGUACAGGAAGGGGCUCUAGGCCGGGUAGGGGGUUGGGGUGCAGGAGGGGGUGAGGGCUCCGGCUGGGGGUGUGUGUAACCUUCCCCUUUCCCUAGCCAUGUGUCUGAGCCACCAGAGCCAGCAAGUACAAGGCCUCGCUGCUGAAGCACUGACAGUGUCCAGUGACGCUACACCUGGCCCUCUACUGACAGCUCAGGGGUUUGGCGUCCUCUGGCACUGAGACGCCACAAUAAUUACAGGGUUAUUUCUAAUGGGUUAAAGCAGAACUUGUGCUGAGAUUAACACGUCUCUCGUGGGUCUGGGGGUUUUACAGCACGAACUGGCUCUGCGUGUGGGUACAGUGCAUGUGUUUGAGUGAUACCAACAUGGCUGAAACACACAACUCCCCAUCCUGGGGGUUUCCAUCCCGCCUGAUUCCUUCCACAGGGGUCACUGGCCCGGCUCCUCUAUGGCCAGAUGUCCUGAUGGGCAGCAGUCGGGAUGUUGGGAGAGGUUCUGUUUUCUGUGGCUAGUGACAGCCCCAAAGUGACUCCCACCAGCCCCCAUUGCCUUGCCCUGCAGCUGCCAGUCUCUGAAUCCUGGCCUGGGAUUCGAUUGGAACGAGGCCCCUGGGAGCUGGAGAGACCACGGGUCAGACACUGCAACAUUGUAGCCAGAACAUCCAUGUCUAGAUUUUAAGGCCAGUCAAGACAACUAAAUAAUCCUGUCUAACCCCCAUACACGUGACAGGCCACAUAGUCACCCCUGCACAGAGCCCGACCACCAGGAUUAAACCAAAAUAUUCCAGCCCUUAGGAGAAUAUCCCGUUGUGCGCCACAGGCAGAGCAUAGGAGAGGCAGAGGGGUACCAAUACGGGAGGCCCCUGCACUGGAAUUGAUUUGGUGAGAUGUACCCAGCUGAUCUGGGCAAGUGACUUGUGCCCCAUGCCGCAGAGGAUGACAAAAACUCCAACAUCCCUGCCAGUGUGAGCUGGGGGAAAUUCCUUCCUGACCCCAGCAAUGGAGAUCAGGGAGACCCUGAGCAUGAGAGCAAGGCCACCAGCCAAGCACCAGAGAGAAAUGGUUUUCUAUCUCACCUGUGAGCACUUUCUUCAGCCCCUGCAUCCCCCCCUGCCACUCCUAUGUAGGAUGGAGAAUCUAUCAUUGCCCUGGGUACUUUGUUCCAGUGUUUAAUAACCCAAUUGCAAAUGUGUCCCUUAUUUCUCAUUUUAGUUUCUCUGCCAUUAAAUUCCAGCCACUGGUUCUAGUUCUGCCUUUGCUGCUAGGUUAAAGAGCCCUUCAGUACCCAGGAUUUUCUCUUUGGGAGGGGAUUCACGCAUUGUCAUCAAGUGAUCUCUUGGUCUUCUCUGUGAUAAACUGAGCAGAUUGAGCUCUUGUCUCGCACUGGAAGGCAACUUUUCAGCGCUUUUUUUCCUCUUCUCUGCCCCCCCGUCCAAUUUUUCAUUCUUCAUCUUAAAAUGUGGCCAGGACGACUGUGUGCAAAAGUCCAGUGUUGGUCUGACCAAUGUUGUACAGAGAUAACACUAGUGCCCUAUAUCUAGUCACUGUUCUCCUGUCUGUACAUCCAAGGACGACCACAGCAUCGCACGGGGAUUUCAUGCUGAGCUGUUUGUCCAUUAUGACACCUAAACCAUUCUCCGAGUCACAGCAGUCUGGCCUUGCUCGUUAGUAAAGCUCAGUGUGUUUGAAUGGCCACAGCUGCCCAAGUGCUCCGUAACAUGCACAAGGGAUUCCCCUCCUCAGUCACCUUCACCUGCUGCUGGUCUCUUAUCUCUUUCUUCUUCUCCAGGAUCCGCAUGUGUCAUUGUGAGAGGAGUUCUCUUCCUCUCUUUGCCUGGGAGCGAUAUGAUGCCCCGGAUGGACUGACCAAACCCAGGAUUCCUUCAGCCUGAAAGCAGAGGGGAGCCUUCACCCGCUCCCUCUUUAAGGCUCCAGUCCCAGGUCCUAAAUUCCCUGCCAAAGCACAAAAAUCCACACUGAGCCCAACUCCUCUCUCGGUGGUGAUUUUCUUUCUCCCACAAAUCUGUCUUGAGGACACAGCCCUGGGAACAGGUGAACACAACCCCUGAGAUUUCCCUUCGCAGCCUGCAAGGGGCAGUUCGCCCUAUUAAACAGCUUGGGAAUGUCGUCUUUUUCUUUUCUCCUUUCAAAAGUAACUUCUUGUAUUUCUAGUCUCUUUAUAUGACCUCCUGAUUUGCCACUUCCAGUUCUCUGCUGUACAUGCCAGCACUGGAUCGAGAGAGGUGCCUGGACCCAUCCUGUACUGGGUACAUGGGGGACUUGCAGGAUCAGACCCUAAAAUCGCUUAAGAGGGAAAUUCUAACCCCACCCAACCUCGACCUGUUCCUGGGAGGUGUCGGUACGGACCCAGGCCACCGAGCACCAUGGAGUGAAGAGACCAAUUUUAUCAUGCUCUGCAUUUUUCUCCUGCCACUGUCACCUGGCAGCUCAGGGAUGUGAGAUUCUCCUCCAUUGCGUUUCUGCCCACGGAAAAAGAAGAGAGAUCACACUUCAGCACCUUUUUCAUUUGACUUGUCCUCGGAGUGAAUGUAGCACUGUGGAGUGUCAGCCCCUGUCCACACACCAUGCCCUUGUCCACUGACAGCUCAGAAGAGCAAUUGCAGAGAACGUCCUUCUCAACUCCAGGCUGGAAAAUGCUCAGUGAGUUCUGUGGGGAUGGAGCAAAAGACCAGUCUCUGACACCGCCUGCAAAAUGGCCUCUCUCUGCUCCAAAGCAUGGAGACACUGUAGCUUAAUGGUAGUGAAAAAAAUGGCGCCCUGGGAAAAGAGGCAUAAGGCCCUUUCUGGAAAAGGCUGAAACUUUUUUGCUGAAAUUAAAAAAAACAAUUCAGUCUGACUGGCUGUUGAUGACCCUUGCAGAAAGUCCUACUUCUUGCCCACCAUGCACGUGAAAGAACCAUUUCCAUUUCAGUGCCAGGAGAAAGGAGACCCAGAAGAAGCCUCUGUGCCUCCUGCACUUCAA